GGAUGCGAUCAUACCAGCACUAAAGCACCAGAUCCCAUCAGAACUCCGAAGUUAAGCGUGCUUGGGCGAGAGUAGUACUAGGAUGGGUGACCUCCUGGUAAGUCCUCGUGUUGCAUUCC
rnacentral:rRNA from 1 species